AAAAAUAGGAAAAGGCAGGCCGGGAGAGCAGGCGGAUCAUCCAGCGAGUAGGCAGCCGAGCCCUAAAGAGCGAACCUCGCCAUCUACCAAUUACGCAUCAAACUAACAGCCCACCUAGUCAGCCCGAGCCCCUCCAUCGUCCACUUGGGUUCGGCCGGUCCCCGGCCCGCCUGCCGCAGCCAUGGUGGCAGCCCCGGGAGGAGCACUAGCAUCCGUUUCCUUCGAUCCUCGGGAUUUGCAGAUGGCUGCCCAGUCAGCGCCCAAAGUUGUGCUAAAAAGCACCACCAAGAUGUCUCUAAAUGAGCGCUUUACUAAUAUGCUGAAGAACAAACAGCCGAUGCCAGUGAAUAUUCGGGCUUCGAUGCAGCAACAACAGCAGCUAGCCAGUGCCAGGAACAGAAGACUGGCCCAGCAGAUGGAGAAUAGACCCUCUGUCCCGGCAGCAUUAAAACUUAAGCAGAGCUUAAAGCAGCGCCUGGGUAAGAGUAACAUCCAGGCACGGUUAGGCCGACCCACAGGGGCUCUGGCCAGAGGAGCCAUUGGAGGAUGAGGCCUUCCCAUAGUCCGGAGAGACUUGCCCAGAGGAGGACUGUGUGGGGGACGUGCCACCAGGACCCUGCUUAGGGGCGGGAUAUCGUUCCGAGGUCAAAACCUGCUUCGAGGUGGACGAGCUGUAGCUCCCCAAAUGGGCUUAAGAAGAGGUGGUGUUCGAGGUCACGGAGGUCCUGGGAGAGGGGUCCUAGGGCGUGGAGCUAUGGGUCGUGGCGGAAUCGGUGGCAGAGUUCAGGGUAUGAUAGGUCGGGGAAGAGGGGGCUUUGGAGGACGUGGAUGAGGACGUGGAUGGGGGAGAGGUGCCCUUACUCGCCCUGUGUUGACCAAGGAGCAGCUGGACAACCAGUUGGAUGCCUACAUGUCAAAAGCUAAAGGACAUCCGGAUGCUGAGUUGAAUGCCGACCUGGCACAGACAGAUCCUGAACCAAUGAAUUAA